rnacentral:rRNA from 1 species
UGGGGAAUCUUGGACAAUGGGGGCAACCCUGAUCCAGCCAUGCCGCGUGAGUGAUGAAGGCCUUAGGGUCGUAAAGCUCUUUCGCCUGUGAAGAUAAUGACGGUAGCAGGUAAAGAAACCCCGGCUAACUCCGUGCCAGCAGCCGCGGUAAUACGGAGGGGGUUAGCGUUGUUCGGAAUUACUGGGCGUAAAGCGCACGUAGGCGGACCAGAAAGUUGGGGGUGAAAUCCCGGGGGCUCAACCCCGGAACUGCCUCCAAAACUAUUGGUCUAGAGUUCGAGAGAGGUGAGUGGAAUUCCAAAGUGUAGAGGUGAAAUUCGUAGAUAUUUGGAGGAACACCAGUGGCGAAGGCGGCUCACUGGCUCGAUACUGACGCUGAGGUGCGAAAGUGUGGGGAGCAAACAGGAUUAGAUACCC